rnacentral:rRNA from 1 species
GAGUAACACGUGAGUAACCUGCCCUUGACUCUGGGAUAAGCCUGGGAAACUGGGUCUAAUACCGGAUAUGACCUUCCAUCGCAUGGUGGUUGGUGGAAAGCUUUUGUGGUUUUGGAUGGACUCGCGGCCUAUCAGCUUGUUGGUGGGGUAAUGGCCUACCAAGGCGACGACGGGUAGCCGGCCUGAGAGGGUGACCGGCCACACUGGGACUGAGACACGGCCCAGACUCCUACGGGAGGCAGCAGUGGGGAAUAUUGCACAAUGGGCGCAAGCCUGAUGCAGCGACGCCGCGUGAGGGAUGACGGCCUUCGGGUUGUAAACCUCUUUCAGUAGGGAAGAAGCGUAAGUGACGGUACCUGCAGAAGAAGCGCCGGCUAACUACGUGCCAGCAGCCGCGGUAAUACGUAGGGCGCAAGCGUUAUCCGGAAUUAUUGGGCGUAAAGAGCUCGUAGGCGGUUUGUCGCGUCUGCCGUGAAAGUCCGGGGCUCAACUCCGGAUCUGCGGUGGGUACGGGCAGACUAGAGUGAUGUAGGGGAGACUGGAAUUCCUGGUGUAGCGGUGAAAUGCGCAGAUAUCAGGAGGAACACCGAUGGCGAAGGCAGGUCUCUGGGCAUUAACUGACGCUGAGGAGCGAAAGCAUGGGGAGCGAACAGGAUUAGAUACCCUGGUAGUCCAUGCCGUAAACGUUGGGCACUAGGUGUGGGGGACAUUCCACGUUUUCCGCGCCGUAGCUAACGCAUUAAGUGCCCCGCCUGGGGAGUACGGCCGCAAGGCUAAAACUCA